GCACUGCUGAUGAGUCCCAUAAUAGGACGAAACGGCCGUCCAGUGC
rfam:Schistosoma rodhaini strain Burundi genome assembly, scaffold: SROB_scaffold0000280